UAUGAUGGCUCAGGAUGAACGCUAGCUACAGGCUUAACACUUUCAAGUCGAGGGGAAACGACAUCGAAAGCUUGCUUUUGAUGGGCGUCGACCGGCGCACGGGUGAGUAACGCGUAUCCAACCUGCCCAUCACUUGGGGAUGACCUUGCGAAAGUAAGACUAAUACCCAAUGAUAUCUCUAGAAGACAUCUGAAAGAGAUUAAAGAUUUAUCGGUGAUGGAUGGGGAUGCGUCUGAUUAGCUUGUUGGCGGGGUAACGGCCCACCAAGGCGGCGAUCAGUAGGGGUUCUGAGAGGAAGGUCCCCCGCAUUGGAACUGAGACACGGUCCAAACUCCUACGGGAGGCAGCAGUGAGGAAUAUUGGUCAAUGGACGAGAGUCUGAACCAGCCAAGUAGCGUGCAGGAUGACGGCCCUAUGGGUUGUAAGCUGCUUUUAUAAGGGAAUAAAGUGAGAGUCGUGACUCUUUUUGCAUGUACCUUAUGAAUAAGGACCGGCUAAUUCCGUGCCAGCAGCCGCGGUAAUACGGAAGGUCCGGGCGUUAUCCGGAUUUAUUGGGUUUAAAGGGAGCGUAGGCCGGAGAUUAAGCGUGUUGUGAAAUGUAGACGCUCAACGUCUGCACUGCAGCGCGAACUGGUUUCCUUGAGUACGCACAAAGUGGGCGGAAUUCGUGGUGUAGCGGUGAAAUGCUUAGAUAUCACGAAGAACUCCGAUUGCGAAGGCAGCUCACUGGAGCGCAACUGACGCUGAAGCUCGAAAGUGCGGGUAUCGAACAGGAUUAGAUACCCUGGUAGUCCGCACGGUAAACGAUGGAUGCCCGCUGUUGGUCUGAAUAGGUCAGCGGCCAAGCGAAAGCAUUAAGCAUCCCACCUGGGGAGUACGCCGGCAACGGU
rnacentral:rRNA from 1 species